AAGCGUGGGGAGCAAACAGGAUUAGAUACCCUGGUAGUCCACGCCCUAAACGAUGAGUACUAAGUGUAGCCAGAAGGCUGUGCUGAAGUUAACGCAUUAAGUACUCCGCCUGAGUAGUACGUACGCAAGUAUGAAACUUAAAGGAAUUGACGGGAUCCCGCACAAGCGGUGGAGCAUGUUGUUUAAUUCGACGAUACGCGAAGAACCUUACCAGGUCUUGACAUACUCGGCAAAUCUAUAGAGAUAUAGAGGAGGUUAACCGGGAUACAGGUGGUGCAUGGUUGUCGUCAGCUCGUGUCGUGAGAUGUUAGGUUAAGUCCUGCAACGAGCGCAACCCUUAUUGCUAGUUACCAUCAUUAAGUUGGGGACUCUAGCGAGACUGCCGGUGAUAAACCGGAGGAAGGCGGGGAUGACGUCAAAUCAUCAUGCCCUUUAUGACCUGGGCUACAAACGUGCUACAAUGGCUGACACAAAGAGAAGCGAGCUCGCGAGAGUAAGCAAACCUCAGAAAAGCAGUCUCAGUUCGGAUUGAAGUCUGCAACUCGACUUCAUGAAGUUGGAAUCGCUAGUAAUCGCGAAGCAGAGUGUCGCGGUGAAUACGUUCCCGGGCUUUGUACACACCGCCCGUCAAACCAUGAGAGUUUGUAAUACCCGAAGCCGGUGGCCGAACCGCAAGGAAGGAGCCGUCUAAGGUAGGACAGAUGAUUGGGGUUAAGUCGUAACAAGGUAUCCCUACGAGAACGUGGGGAUG
rnacentral:rRNA from 1 species